UACGUAGGGUGCAAGCGUUGUCCGGAAUUAUUGGGCGUAAAGAGCUCGUAGGCGGUCUGUCGCGUCGGCUGUGAAAUCCCGGAGCUCAACUCCGGGUCUGCAGUCGAUACGGGCAAACUGGAGUACUGCAGGGGAGACUGGAAUUCCUGGUGUAGCGGUGAAAUGCGCAGAUAUCAGGAGGAACACCAGUGGCGAAGGCGACUACCUGGCCUGUUCUUGACGCUGAGGCGCGAAAGCUAGGGGGAGCAAACGGG
rnacentral:rRNA from 1 species